UACGUAGGGUGCAAGCGUUAAUCGGAAUUACUGGGCGUAAAGCGUGCGCAGGCGGUUCUAUAAGGCAGAUGUGAAAUCCCCGGGCUCAACCUGGGAACUGCAUUUGUGACUGUAGAGCUGGAGUACGGCAGAGGGGGAUGGAAUUCCGCGUGUAGCAGUGAAAUGCGUAGAUAUGCGGAGGAACACCGAUGGCGAAGACAAUCCCCUGGGCCUGUACUGACGCUCAUGCACGAAAGCGUGGGGAGCAAACAGG
rnacentral:rRNA from 1 species